CCCUCGCCCUCUCGCACGCCGCCGUCCCCUCGCUCUGCCCUCGCACGCCGCCGUCCCCUCGCUCUGCCCUCGCACGCCGCCGCCACCCUGCCAUCUGCUACACCACCGUGGCCGCCGCCGCCGCCGAUGGAGGCGCGGAUCCGCUGCGCGCGCUCACGGAAAUCCUUUGCCGCCAAGGGUUCGCGCCAUCCUACGAUAAAAUCCCCUCAUCCCUCCCCUCCGCGCGCCCAUCCAGCAUGGUUUCUCUGGCCACCAUGUCGCGGCGCGUGGAUCAGGCGACGGCGGCGGCGCGAGAUUUGCUGAAGGUGGAUGCGGCUCGGGAGCGAAAGGCUGCGGCGACGUACUCGCGGAAGGCCCAGGGGGCAUCUGCGGUGGUGGACUCGCGGCGCCAGGGGUGAUCUGCUGCGGAAGGCCCAGGAGGCCAAGGCGCCGCGACGGCGGCUCCGGCCGCGAGCGGAUGAUUCCUCCGAGCCUCACGGAUCAGGGAGGACGGAUCCACGGAAGUGCAGGUGAGGUCGUCGCCACCUCGGCUACCCCCAUCGCUCACCGGGUGCUAUGUUAGGAUCAGAGCUCCUUCCAGAGAUGGCACGUGUUCUGUGAAAACUGUACCCAAAAUAUCCUGAAAAUGCUAUCUAUAUAUGCCAUCCACCCAAAAUAUCCUGAAAAUGCUGUCUAUAUAUGCCAUCCGAAACCACUAGUAGUUGUUUGUGUUAAUGAUUGACUGUGUCUCAUGGUGUUGAUAUAUAGUGUACAUGUGGAUCUUUUUCAUUACACCGUCAUUUCAAUGAAUAUAAUUGAACAUGUUCAGAAAAGAGGAACAUUGUCUAUUGCUAUAACAUUUACAUCAUUUUUGUUUUGGUUCAUUCAGAAAAGAGGAACAUUGGAGCCUGUUGAGUCCAGAGUAUAUAUGUAUCUCUUAAUUCAAAUAUCUUAUCUCAUAUAUAUGUACUGACAUGUAUGUAGAGAUUUUUUUGGGUAUAUAUAUGGUACCCAAUUCAAUAUUACAGUUACAUACUUACUGUCACAGUUAUAUGAUGGAACUGUAAAUCAAGUUUUUCAGUUGGAUUCCAUGGUAAAUUGCUUUUCCUGCUUUUCAUGAUGAAUUCAGUUAUAUAUAUAUAAUGUGGGCAAACUAACUUGGCAUAUAUAACUGUAAAUCAAGUUUUUUCAGAUCAAGGAAAAAGCAGAGAGGAAGCACAACUGCAGCUGGACAUCAAUGCCAAGUUUUGAGAAGGGCAAAGAUAUAUAGACAACUGAAUUGCCAUCUAUUGCAGUCAAGUGUCAACUGAACAAAUCUUUCUUUUCAAUCAAGUGUCAUUUUUAUUUUGUCAAGUGUGAACUGAUAAUGGCAUUUGUUUGUUAGACUCUAUUCCUUUUCAAGUGUCAACUGAAAAUUUAUUUGUGCAAUGGCUGCAUGCAUUCAUGUGUGGUGGUUAUUUACAUUCCUGUCUGGUGUACUAUUGGAUUCAUGCUUGUAUCAACUGAAGAGUGUGAACUGCUAGCAAAAAUAUAUGCUUAUUUGAAUGCCACCAA